rnacentral:rRNA from 1 species
GACGAACCGUCCAAACGUUAUUCGGAAUUACUGGGCUUAAAGGGUGCGUAGGCGGCGCGGAAAGUUGGGUGUGAAAUCCCUCGGCUCAACCGAGGAACUGCGCCCAAUACUACCGUGCUUGAGGGAGAUAGAGGUGAGCGGAACUUAGGGUGGAGCGGUGAAAUGCGUUGAUAUCCUAAGGAACACCGGUGGCGAAGGCGGCUAUCUGGACCGACAUUGACGCUGAGGCGCGAAAGCGUGGGGAGCAAACAGG